GACGAACGCUGGCGGCGUGCUUAACACAUGCAAGUCGAACGGUGAAGCGCCUUCCUUUUUGGUGGGUGUGGAUGAGUGGCGAACGGGUGAGUAACACGUGAGUAACCUGCCCCCUUCUUCUGGAUAACCGCAUGAAAGUGUGGCUAAUACGGGGUAUUCUGGGUCUGUCGCAUGAUGGGUCUGGGAAAGAUAUUGUUUCGGUGGGGGAUGGGCUCGCGGCCUAUCAGCUUGUUGGUGGGGUGAUGGCCUACCAAGGCGGUGACGGGUAGCCGGCCUGAGAGGGUGGACGGUCACACUGGGACUGAGACACGGCCCAGACUCAUAAGGGAGGCAGCAGUGGGGAAUAUUGCACAAUGGGCGCAAGCCUGAUGCAGCGACGCCGCGUGAGGGAUGGAGGCCUUCGGGUUGUGAACCUCUUUCGCCAGUGAAGCAGGCCUGCCUCGUUUGUGGGUGGGUUGACGGUAGCUGGAUAAGAAGCGCCGGCUAACUACGUG
rnacentral:rRNA from 1 species